ensembl:lncRNA
GUUGUUUGUUUCCACGCAACAAAUGCAUUCAUUCAAUAGUGAUGUGGAGUUUUUUCCAAUUGCAAUUCAGAGGCGCAGUCGGUCAGGAAACCGACGUCAUUCAUGCACCUGGUGCACCACCUGCCACUGAUGGCAACGCGCUGACGGCGCCGGAGACGCUUCACAUUCACAAAAACUCGAGGGAUACUUUGUAUGUCGUUUUUGAGCUUUAAUCAGCUUGAUUAUUUGUUUUUUGGUUUAUUUAAAAAGGUUCCCCGGGUCCCAUUUAUUAGCCCAAAGAAAGUACUAAUUUGAAGAUCAAUAAAAGUAUUUUUUUUUUAAUCAGGCCACAGCUGAGCACACAACACGAACAAACAGAAACACACCUGUUCCUCUGCUCACACAGGUAAACUACCGGGUGCAAUGCAACCCUUCACAAAGCACUGUAAAUCUCUUUAGUACUGUAAUAAAUAAAUAGUAGCACAAACAUACAAACGUGGUACUAAAAUUGCAUCAAAACAAAGCCACUGACAGAAAUUAGACAUAUUUUAUAUGCUGAAGCGUUGGCACAGGGAUCUCUUUACAUACGAAAUGCCCACAAGAGAAAGGUAAAUAUUCAAGUGUAAUAGUUUAGCAUUGUAAGCUCAUGGAGAGAAGCCUUUACAGCUUGUAUAUUGCAUACACAGUUCUAUCGCUGAAUUCCCAAAAGUUUCACCUAGGAAAUUAUGAUUGAUUGUCAGGGGACAGGAAUAAGGAUCAUGACAGUCCAGCCAAUAGAAACGCCGCGAAUGGGGCUAAAAUUAAAUAAAUGAAAAUGUUUUCAGAAAGAAAACAUUGUGAGGAGAAUUGUUUCACCGCAACUAUUUUUUGCCCUCACGGGGACAUUUGGGCAUCAAAACGCGCUUUUCCCGCAGUUGGCACAGCUGAAACAUUUGAACUGCAUCUGCGCUUAUUACUCACAACAGGAUAAAGAGAAAUAAACGACGGCAACGCGCCGCAUCAUUCAACCCGGGCGUCUUGUGCAUAAACAGAGACAGUCUGACGGACGAAGGAAGCCGCUGGAGAGACACCGUCUGCUCCUUUGUGGGCGAAGGCGCUUUGUCCUCCAUUAUGGUCAAUUUAAUAAAUAGGAGGGCAGGACACGUGGGGCCUGUGACGGGAGGGACAGAACAGCUGGGAGGGACCAAGCCGAGGACACAGAGAAAUAAAAACGCGCGGCGGUGCCUGGAGCUAAGGUGCAGGACACGUGAAACGACGUCAUUUUCUCUCUUUCCAGGCACUUUACGCUUACAAAAACACCACAAAGCCACCGCUUAAAUAUAAAAAAAUAAUCAUUUUAAAAGGAGAAAACUCUCCAUCCGAUCCUGGCGCUUGACGAAUGUCUUGGUCUGGUUUCCGAGUGCAGGGUUGGCUACUUAAAGAGUCUCAGAGGUACACAAUGGUCUCCUCGCCGGCCUCCUCCCCGCCGCCGCCGCCGUCCGUCUCCAAGGAAACCAGCGCGCUGAGGUCCAGGCGGGGGUCACGGGCACCGGGCAGCGCGGGAGGCGAGUCGGCGCCGCUUGUCGUCGACCAGCUCCCCGCGAUGUAGGCGGCGGCACGGUUAAGAUCUGCGAGAGCGCACAGAAAGAAAAAAAAACAUCAACACGUAUGUGGAAAGAAAGGCGCGCCGGCGCGUAAUCACCAGGCCGGUUUUGUUUAAUGAGCCCCGGCUAAUUGUUUGGUCCUCUUGUCUAAAUCGCCGACUGCGUGCAGAUCAACCACAGCUGCUGCAGCUCCUCCUCCUCCUCCUCCUCCUCCUCCUCCUCCUCCUCUCUUCCACUUAGAGGUGUCACUUUUAUAUUAUCAUCUUGAUCCACGUGAUCCACCGGCGAGGGGUUAACAGCAGGCGGCGAGGAAACGAGGGGGCCGAGGAGGGUGGAGUAGACGUCUUAAGCGCUGAGGCGACGACAAGGACUCGUAACCCUCGAGUUGGCCGGCGCGCGGAAUAUGACACCCUCAGGCUUUACACCCCCCCCC